rnacentral:ncRNA from 2 species
GCCGUGUCCCUGACACGCGGUACCUUCUCGUCGAUACCGACGACGGUUCGUGGAAGCCGGUGGGAUUCCGGCACGGUCGCGCCACUGUAUGCCGGGCGCGCACCUUCGGGUGCGGCCGGGUGAGUCAGACCCGCCCCGUCGUCCUGUGCACC